rnacentral:rRNA from 1 species
GAUGAACGCUGGCGGCGUGCUUAACACAUGCAAGUCGAACGGUGAAGGCGGAGCUUGUUCUGCUGGAUCAGUGGCGAACGGGUGAGUAACACGUGAGCAAUCUGCCCCUGACUCUGGGAUAAGCGCUGGAAACGGCGUCUAAUACUGGAUACGAGCUGCGAAGGCAUCUUCAGCAGCUGGAAAGAACUUCGGUCAGGGAUGAGCUCGCGGCCUAUCAGCUUGUUGGUGAGGUAACGGCUCACCAAGGCGUCGACGGGUAGCCGGCCUGAGAGGGUGACCGGCCACACUGGGACUGAGACACGGCCCAGACUCCUACGGGAGGCAGCAGUGGGGAAUAUUGCACAAUGGGCGAAAGCCUGAUGCAGCAACGCCGCGUGAGGGACGACGGCCUUCGGGUUGUAAACCUCUUUUAGCAGGGAAGAAGCGAAAGUGACGGUACCUGCAGAAAAAGCGCCGGCUAACUACGUG